rnacentral:rRNA from 1 species
AGAACGAACGCUGGCGGCGUGCUUAACACAUGCAAGUCGAGCGGAAAGGCCCUUCGGGGUACUCGAGCGGCGAACGGGUGAGUAACACGUGAGUAACCUGCCCCUAGCUCUGGGAUAGCUCCGGGAAACCGGGAUUAAUACCAGAUACGACCACUUUAGACAUCUGUCGUGGUGGAAAGGAUUCCGGCUAGGGAUGGGCUCGCGGCCUAUCAGCUUGUUGGUGGGGUAACGGCCUACCAAGGCGAUGACGGGUA